GCUCUGACAUAAAUGAUAAUGGUAUCGUGACAUAACACGAUUAAGCGCUACGGUAAUCGACGGUUUAUGAGCAAAUUAUGUUUUUGCAUAGAUUUUAUUUCUAUACUUACCAUGCAUUUCUAUGAAGAAACAUGUAUAAUAAUAAUUAUUAUUGAUUAUACUCAUCGAGAAUUGCAAGUAUAAUGGCAAAAACUUCUAGCUUUCAUACUGCAUAAAAGUUAUAUUUGAUAAUUGUUGAAUAUUCUAAAAGGAAAUAGCUUUGGGAAUUGAUAAAAAGCAAUCUGUGAAUUUAUGAUGUUAACAAGUGGCUAUUUGUUGUUACUGAUUAUCAUUUUUGCAGAAAAUCUCAAGGUUCCACAUUUGUAUAAUUUUGAUGUAAUCUUUUCACAUCCAUUGUGUGGCACAAGAUAAUACACAGAAUAUUGUAAAUACAAGUAUAUAAAUUAUGUAUGUGCAAGCAUU